AUAGUGAGGUGGUGUAGUGUGAACUGUCACGUCGCUUGCCGCAGGAUGUGAGGUUAUUCAUCAAGAGAUGAAAUGUUGGUGAACAUUUUUGCUCCAAAAUUUUACAGGAAUCAUCGCUUCAGUUUUAGAGUGAUCCAGACGGGUUCUUAAGAACCCGGCGUUCAUUGGCCCUCUCCCUGACUCCCGUGGACCAUUGUCGGUGACAGAGCUCUCAGUACUGACGAACCACCUGGAGUAACAGUCAAUUAGUGAACUGAUGAACUCUCUGGAUUAGUUACACGACCCCUUCUAUCGUCAUUUAUUACUGGUGAACCCUAUGAAUUAGUGUACUAGUGAACUGCUUGGACUAUUAUUAGUGAACUACUUAUGGAUACUUAACAAAGAAAGUGAUAUAUUAUUACUUGUUAACUACCAAUUCAAACUGGAUCCUAAAAGGUGGUUUGCUGAGACGAAAGCAGAACCAUCUUCAGCAUUGGCGUCAAUAUAUACAGGUUAGUGGGA